CUUUGGUUCUACUUUGUUGGUUUAAAGGACCAAGGUAAUGAUUAAUAGGGACAGUUGGGGGCAUUAGUAUUUCAGGGCUAGAGGUGAAAUUCUUGGAUUCCUGAAAGACUAACUACUGCGAAAGCAUCUGCCAAGGAUGUUUUCAUUAAUCAAGGACGAAAGUUAGGGGAUCGAAAACGAUUAGAUACCGUUGUAGUCUUAACCAUAAACUAUGCCGACUCAGGAUCAGUGAAUGUUUUUUUGACUUCAUUGGCACUGUAGGAGAAAUCAAAGUUUUUGGGCUCCGGGGGGAGUAUGGUCGCAAGGCUGAAACUUAAAGGAAUUGACGGAAGGGCACCACCAGGAGUGGAGCCUGCGGCUUAAUUUGACUCAACACGGGGAAACUCACCA
rnacentral:rRNA from 1 species